rnacentral:tRNA from 1 species
UAGGCAACAGCUCAGUGGUAGAGCCCCCGCUUCAUGUGUGGGAAAACCUGGGUUCGAUUCACGGCUGAUUAC